rnacentral:lncRNA from 1 species
CUGAAAUGCUGUCUUUCCCUGGCUUCCACUGGCUCUGGAGGCCCAUUAAAGUUUUAUUUUAUUUUUUUAAAAAGGCUUCUCCCUCCAAUUCCUGUCUGCUGUGAGCUGUGUGUAAAGCAAACAAAGUCACAGAUAAUGUCAACACAAUGCACAAGGAAGCCAACGGUAAUAGCGUACACUGUAAAUUGAAUGUAAAAUGACCACAGAUUAGUAUAUAAUUGGUUGUGUUUCUAAAGCUGUGAUUGUUCUUUUUCUUUGAGGCCCUGUACCUCCAGAGAUCAGGGGAGAAGAACUGUUAAUAUUUAAUAAGCUUUCCUCUGACCUGGGGCUCUGGAGGAAGGUGACCGUAGAUCCAGAUGUACAAUCUCCAGCAGGGACACAGCCAUCCUGAAAGCCCCCGGGUAUUCCCUCAUUCUCCCUCAGAGCAGUGGGAAGAGCACUGGAAAGGCAGCGAAACCCAGGGCGCCGAGUUCAGGAAUGUUUGUACUGGUCCCUUGCUUUCAUCCCUGUCACUAUCGGACUCAUUUCCAGUGCCCAGGGCUCCUCUUCAUAGGCAACCAGGAGCUGAGAAGACCUCAUUCAUGCUGAGAUAGUCCUGUCUUCAAGAGAAAAGAGCCUUGUCUUACUGUGUUGACCAGCCUGGAGUGCAGUGGUGUGAUCAUGGCUCACUGCAGCCUCGAACUCCUGGGUUCAAGUGAUUUUUCCUGCCUUAACUUCUCUAGUACUUGGGACUACAGGCAUGUGUCACCAACCUGGCUAAUAUUUGUAUUUAUUUUGUAGAGACAAAGUUUUGCUAUGUUGACCAGGCUGGUCUCAAACUCCUGACCUCAAGUGAUUUUCCUGCUUGGCCACCCAAAGUGCUGGGAUUAUAGGCGUGAGCCACUAUGCCUGGCCAGUUAUGAAUUCUUUAUGUGCAUUUUGAGGACUCAUUUGAAUCCAGGCUCAUGUACCACCUAAGACAGAUUGCUAAAAUACCUUCCAUUCCAUAAGUAAAUUUUGCAUACUUAUUGAAUUAUUUGAAAAUAUAUAUGUGUGUGUG